GUUCGGCAGAAGCCCAGAAUCAGAAGUCGAUCGAAGGAGCAAUUAUAGCGAAAAGGAAGGCGCAGAGUAUUCGAUGGCGGAGGAGUAGCUGGAAGAGAUGGCGAGAAACAGGACGAAGAGGAGCCGAAGAAACGGCAGAAGGAGGAGGAAGGUCUGAUACACUUUUAAUACGGGACCGAAGGAGCCCCCUGCACAGCAGGUGCACCGCAGGCUGACAGAAGCGUGGAUUACUAACGGAAGAGGCUCGUUAUACACCGAGAGACGAACAGAGGAGUCGAGUGGAACGACCCCGAAGGAGUUGGCUGCGACUCAAGUUGUCUGGUGAACGACGCGUGGGAAAGUCGAGGGGCGCCAACCGUUUUCGAGACGGCGACCAGAGACGCUGGGGGUGGAUACGUAAUUGAUACGCUUCGUAGGGCCGCGUUUGAAUUUCAUUAAGGCCCCUUACUCCGGCACUCGUUCCGCUUCACUGGUCCGUUCAGUCGAACGAUCAAGAAUCCGCUAACCGGGUUCUCUCGUGACCGGCAUUUCGUCUCUCACGACCGAAAGGAGCGUUGCUCUUCGAAGCUUCCCUCGACGAUUGGCUUCCUUGAACGUGCAAAAAUUACGUGGGAAGAUCGAAUCUUUCCGUGGCCGGUUCGAACGUGGACAGGAAAGGUAGAGUCACGAUUACUUGCCAGAGGUGGGCGAGAGCUAAAUUACCAGAAGUUUUCAUUCGCCGCGGCUGACGAGUAGCCCGGUGGAAGAGACACGUGCGUUCGUGAAAAAUGUCCGUUGCACGCGAAUCGAGCGACGCGGCUGAUUGUCGGGACACUGUUCACCUGCUGGCGCGAUGAAGAAAUUCUGACAAAGAACUUCACAGGUGCCAUUCGUUUUCCUUACAAUGUUUCACCGAGGUGCCUAAAGCGUACAACUUUAUAACCCGUUUACCCGUUUGCCGCGUUGCGCAACCGCGCUCGCCAACAAAACAAAACGUUCCACACCAGGGGCGUUCCUUUUCGUGACUUACCGAUCUCCGAGUCGAUAAGAAACCGUGUUUUCAUCGAAUCGACGACACCCCGAUCGGUGUUCAAAUUGCCAAUUACAGUUGGAAAUUACAAGGUGAGUUUCCUUUAAAAUUUGAUGCAAUUCGAGGCGUGUUCAUUUACAGAGAGAAAGAAAUGACCAGUCGAUGCGCAGUUAUGUUCGAGCGACAACAAAUUUUAUUUCGCAACAUUUGUUGCGGGUCCGAGAGAAUGUAUCGAUGCUGGUUAGCAACGGCGCGCGGCGAACGGAAAUCCGGGAAGAAUACGAGAAGAAAGGUUGAGGAUGCGCGGUGCGGCGAGACGAGGUGGAAGGUGCGGCGUGGCGCGGCGCGUGUGCGUGGCUGUCUACGUUCGUAUAGGACAACGUGUCAUUAAAUCGAGAAAGCACUCGAGCCGCCUGCACUUGCCGUCCAGGAAGAAGCACCUGACGGUUCCAGGACACAGGGUGGAUUUUUCAACGGUCGGAAAGGCGUAGACCGAGUUCGAGGGUAGCUUCGACUGGAGGCCCUGUUCGAUAGAUGAUCGAUAAUGAGACGCAGCUGCUUCUCUUCGCCUUAUACGUUCUUCCCCGCUACUUUUCCUAUUCUUUUUUUCCUUCCAUUCUUCUUCCGGUUUUCAAUCGAAUUCUCUUCGACACCAGAAUCGUUUUCCCUUUUAUCGUUGAUUAGAUUUGCCUAAUUAAUGUUACAGAUUUUUCAUGGGCCGAGCGCGAUGAUCGUUUCCAAGCGAAAAGAGCACGCAGGAGGCAACGUCUCGAAGAUCUUCUCGGCCGACUGUUUCUCUUUCUUGGUUUCUCUCGUAUGGCAUUGUGCUGUCGCGGCCGGAGAUGGAGGACGGGGUAAACGCGUGGGCCGAGAGCUUCGUGGGGUGAUGGUGGCGCUGAAGAAAACGACGGUUGAAAGUCGCCCGUUUUCUCGUGUGGGACCUUCAGGUGGACGUGAAACUUUUUAGCUCUCCACGGCACUCUCGAAGCCGCUCAGGGUAUGCACCUGCUAUACACCUGUUGCCCGUUGCUGCUCCUGCUCCUGCUCCUGCUGGCCGCCACGCCGCACCGCGCUGCCCGUUGCCGCGACUUGCAGCUCCCUAGCUCCGUCCGUUAGAAGGAAAAUCGCUUUGACCUUCUUUUGGAAGCCGACUAGAUACCCUGCUCGUCGAUAGAAACAUCCUUCAAACGUUCGUCACCAAUUUUCCAUUCUUUUUCUUCUUAAUCCUCUCUGUCGCAUCCACGUUCCCUUUUUCUCUUCGAACUAACCACUUGCCUCUGCGCGCACGUAGAGGAUUUUUUCGAAAAAAACACAGCUGCACCGCUCUUUUAUGGGGGUCCGUUGGCUGAAGCACCCGACGCACCGUGCAGCUUGCCACCUUGUGACACGCGUACUCUCCGCCGAUGCUUCGGCUCGACCUUGCCUCUAAUUAACCGUCCCGGAAUUAGCUCGCGACCGAGAAUAUUCUUCGUUAAACACGCGAUUACCAAGUCGCCCUUUCAAUUAUUCGGCGAAAUUUAUUUGGAAACGCGAUUAGCCGUUCAUAAAUGGUGUGUAAAGACGGCUCGUGGCUCGCAAACAGCAGGUAAUUAACGUCCUGGCGGAGCAACAAAGCCUUGAGUCUCGAUUAAACGAACAGUAACUCUGAAAUAAUCUAGAGAAAGCGAUCUCCGCUUCGAAGGACGAAACAAAGAGGGUUUCGAUAGCUGUUACAAUUUGUCGAAUAAAUUUUCAGCGCCUCGCUCGUGUCGCUGUUGAAAUUUAUGAAAAGACACUUACUUGCAAGAAUUGGACUGUUCGUUUCGACUCGUUCAGCGUCCAUAAACGUUCGUUCGUAACUAACCGAUUAUAUUAAUGGAACCGAAGGAUAAUGGACACGACUGAUAAAACCGACACCCGCUCUCGCGAACAUACGAAACGUUCUCGCAUAUUUUUACUUAUCAAAGUUCAAUUGAGUUAACGAUCGCACCUGUACGUUCCUUUCUCCUCGCUAGAAGCCUCGGUGGAUGGCAGCUGGGUCGAACAGGAACACGAGCUCGUGUCGUCGCACACCGUGCAACCUUACGUGUCCGUGUUACCUGUACAGGUGGGAAGAACCGAGUCAUCAUCCUUCUCCUCCACCGGCUCGCCACAUCAUACCGUCCUUAUCAUAAAUUUUCUCCCGUUUUCUGACCACCAUCGUUUCCAUAAUCGACCGCCUUAUGCGUUAGUCGGUCGGUCAACGAAUUAGAAUACGGUUAAGCUGCUAGAGUUAGCUCAUCGAUGAGGAUAGCUCAGUCUAGUAGCUGUUUCAUAGUAGACUCGACGGUAUACCCGGCGAAUCCCUCCAGACUAAUUACACCGGAUUCGUGAAUCAAAGAGCAGUGAUUGAUGGUGGUUGAGCGAGAGGAGCAGCGGCCCUUUAAACUGUCCCGUGUCACACGCCGCUGCUCGAUUCAACACUUUUUUACCAUCUGUCCCUUGUCGGGCAUAUGUUGGGGGAUAACAUCGAAAAUGAUCCGAAACAGGUAGAACAGCCUCUAAGUUUCCACGCUCGCUGCCCGUCUGUCGGUAGUCACCUGUUGAUUUCCUUUAAAUCAGAAUAAUAUCACCUUUUACGCGUUUCCACGACUCUCUAUCUAUUCUAUGACGAGGCUUUUCUUCGGAGGAAGCAUAAGUAAGGCUAUGGGAACGUUGGGUAUAGGAAAGGCGGGUAGCCUCGGACAUUUUUAUAUCUUUAUUGUUACGUCAUAUAGAAAUAUGAAUGACAUAUGACAACUUCUGUGCUUAAAAAACAAUUGCAAACCAGUAAUUAUAUGUACGCCAAGCAAAUUAGGUCAUUAUAUAAAUUUUAGUUUCGCUGAAGGUGAGUUUACAGAGACCAUCAAAUUUCAUUGACGCUUAACCAGAGGUUCUAGUUUAUUGCUUGUUGUCUUAAAGUUAUUUAAGAAAUAUGUUUUUUUUGUGAUAUAAUGAAUCAGAUAGACCCUAUAUUUAUUACCUGAAAGAGAAAUUUGAUUAAAAUUGAUUGAUUCUAUGUUUUCUUUGCAUUUUAUUCAAGUGUCCGGGGAUACCCGCCAUUUUUUCGGCCGAGUAAAAACAGAGAUUCCAGUUUAUUGCUUGUUGUUCUAAAGUUAUUUAAGAAAUAUGUUUCUUUUUAAGAUAUAAUGAAUCAAAAAGACCUUAUAUUUAUUACCUGAAAGAGAAAUUUGAUUAGAAUCGAUUGAUUCUAUGUUUUUUUUGCAUUUUAUUCAAGUGUCCGGGGCUACCCGCCCUUCCCCUAUAGGAAAGAUUCGUUAGGAAGAUUCUGUUCCCUCUGUCUCGAGUGGAACUGAAAUUUUUCACUCCUCAGUACCAUUAUGCUGUGAUUCCAACCCUUCCGUUUCCGGUGCGUCAAUGAACAAGCAACGCCGAUUAAGCGACUGCAUAACAGCGCAACCCCCAUCGAAGCGAAUCGAACUCUCAUAGACCGUGGUAGGGUGCAUGAAAGCUUACGACUUGAUUUAUGAACGAAAAUCUCGAGUAAACGCUCGUUUCCCCGCUCCGUUGGGCGUGAAAUGACUUUGGGCGAGUUCUGCUCGUCGUCGCGACAACGAGCCGGCCGUGCGUGCAGUUCCGGCACCACGACACCGGAAGUGCCGACUCAUACACCGUUCGCGUUCACCUCUAUCAACCUUUUUAUCCCGAAUGCACGAAAUCAAUUCAGUUUCCCUAGUUGCUCCCGGAAACUCAAGAUUUGCUUCCUUAUUUACGUAUUUUUACUUUGAAAUCGUUCACGUUCGUUAUGAUGUACGUCGUUGACGAGAUAGCUGUGAACCAUUUAACCAGAUCGAAGAUUGUUUUAUAAAUAAUACUUUUAUUGCGGACGAAACGUCUCGUGCCUCUCGUUAUCCUCCUUUUUAUCGCGGAAACCUCGACGAAAGGAGGACAGAAACGAUUACCAACGAUGGUAAAUUGUCGCGUCUAUCGUGAGUUUUUAAAAAAAAAAGAUACUGCAGGAAAAUAUUCGAAAGAUCCGAAAGGGAGAAGAGAAAUAUCUGGUGCUGUCACCCACGCGAUUUAUGCUAAUUAACCUCGACUUCGCGGAUCUUUCUCCAAAGAUACCACGACACAUUCUUCGCGAAGGCUUUACUUUUGUCUUUGAUCCUCUUCUUCGUCCUCUACCCUUAUCGAUUCCAGAUUCCAGAUCAUUUUUUUUUUUCAUGUUAUAUCGUGGACAGACUUUCGUUGCCGAUCAAGAGUCGCCGCUAAGAAUAAAUCCGUCGAUGACCUUAACUAGAGACACGUCUGGGAAUUCAUUUUUUUUCUCUGCCCUCUGUUAUCGAAUAUCUGACAUUUUUAAUCGGUUGCCUGCGACAAAAAAAGGCAUUAACGAUACGAGGUUACUCUAAUUAGCGUGAAUCGAGAUUUAAUUCGCGCUUCUGUGAAGAAUAACGCUUCUUCGAAUGUUGAAACUCCCACCCCCGAUCGUUCUACGGCUGUUACUGUUUAUAAUAUAAAUUUAUCAGUAGCUGUUGUUUAUCGGCGGGGACAGACGGGUCAGCUUGUCCGAGAAUGAGACACGAGCGAUCCACGCACACGCGGCACGGAGCGCAGCUGUGCGCAAAAUUGAUGGCGCACCGCCCGCUCCUUUGCAAUUUCUACGUAACUCGCGCUAGUUAUUACUGGAUGCCGCGAUAAAAACUCGGCGAGGCAGAAAAAUGAAAAUAAUGAAAAAAGAAAGAAAGAAAAAGGUGAAAUGAUAAACGGACGUUCGAUACCCCCGAACGAUCGACGCGGGUCGUGCACAGUAACGUAAAUAGUCGGAUAAUACCAUCCUUUCAGAUUUACACUAUGAACAUUCAUGCAAAUCAACGUAGCUCGUUGUGAAGGAGAAUACUUGGUCCACAGAUUUGAACAGUGAUAAGGAAAUAGAUAAAUACAGAAGAGACGACAAAAAUAUUUGCAUAGAAAGGUUGAAACAACCUUUCAAAAAUGAGUUAUGUGCGUGUGCAAGAUUAAGUUUGUGUAAAUUAUGUAAUUAAAUUGUAAAAUGUAGCUGCGAAAUUCAAAUCGUCAGGAGAUACGUUCGAAGCGUGACUCAAAUGUGUUAUAUUUGGUUUUGGUAAAUUACUAAUUUUAAGUUGGACGUCAGGUGUGACGAAUCGAUGCGAUAUCUGCUCGCAUUACGAUUUUAAUGGCCGGUCUAAUUAACGUCAUGGAACGGGUGGUUAAACAAACGGAACGAAACGACCGGCCUUUAUCGUGACGAUGAAAAGAGAGUGAGUUUUCUUUAUGCCCUCUCAGAGUUCAAAGGUUCGACUGAUAAUACGUUCACUCGCCCGACAUCUUCGUUUUAAUAGAUAAGAAAUCUGCUUCGUUUAUUUAUGUUUGAAGUAAAGCCGCGUGUGUUCAAUGCUUUUACAGUAUUAUCACACUUCCUUUUACGCGAGUCACUCGAGUUCGAUCAGUCGAGUUCCUUCAAUUAUAAUUUCAAUACAUUUUCUGGUUUGAUGUUCAUUUUAAUUG